rnacentral:lncRNA from 1 species
CCAGCAUCCUUUGCCAAACAAAAGCAAUCAGCCACAGCUGCUACAGUGUGGCCUCUAUUUGUAUCACGAGCAACAUCCUCGUAUGUGCUCUGGACUCCAAUUUCUAGCCGAGUACAACCAUAAGAAAGCAUCUGCCUCAGAUGAGGUCCAAGGCAGUAGUCUGGCCUCCUAUUGGCAAAAAACACACGAUUGAGUACACAAUACAGAUAUGAACAAAAUGCUGUAUGCUUAUAUUAGUAAAGAGGUAAAAGCUCGACCAACUCUCCUAAAGAAAUUAAGUAAGAAAGCAUCGGCCUCAGAUGAGGUCCAAGGCAGUAGUCUGGCCAUCUAUUGGCGAAAAAAACAUGAUUGAGUACACAACACAGAUAUGAACAAAAUGCUAGUAUUAUUAAGAGGUAAAAGCUCCACCAACUCUUCUAAAGAAAUUAAGUAUAGCACUUUGCCUACUUCUUGUUUUUUUUAAUAAGGUAGGUUAAAUUUAAG